AUCUGAAUAACUAUGGCUGAUCGCAUGGUCUCGAACCGGCGACAUGUCUAUCAAGUGUCUGCCUUAUCAACUGUCGAUGGUAGUUUAUGUGCCUACCAUGGUUGUAACGGGUAACGGAGAAUAAGGGUUCGACUCCGGAGAGGGAGCCUGAGAAACGGCUACCACAUCCAAGGAAGGCAGCAGGCGCGCAAAUUACCCACUCUCGGCAUGAGGAGGUAGUGACGAAAAAUAACGAGACCGUUCUCUAUGAGGCCGGUUAUCGGAAUGGGUACAAUUUAAACCCGUUAACGAGGAUCUAUGAGAGGGCAAGUCUGGUGCCAGCAGCCGCGGUAAUUCCAGCUCUCAAAGUGUAUAUCGUCAUUGCUGCGGUUAAAAAGCUCGUAGUUGGAUCUGCGCCUCAGGACUCGGUCCGCCCACUGGGCGAGAACUGGGCUCCUGGGCUUGUACUGCUGGUUUUCCCUACGUUGCCUUCAUCGGUUGCGUAGGGUGGCUAGCGAGUUUACUUUGAAAAAAUUAGAGUGCUUCACGCGGGCUUACGCCUGAAUACUCGUGCAUGGAAUAAUGGAAUAGGAUCUCGGUUCUAUUUUGUUGGUUUUCUGAUCUGAGAUAAUGGUUAAGAGGGACGGACGGGGGCAUU
rnacentral:rRNA from 1 species